GUGGGGAAUCUUGCGCAAUGGGCGAAAGCCUGACGCAGCCAUGCCGCGUGAAUGAUGAAGGUCUUAGGAUUGUAAAAUUCUUUCACCGGGGACGAUAAUGACGGUACCCGGAGAAGAAGCCCCGGCUAACUUCGUGCCAGCAGCCGCGGUAAUACGAAGGGGGCUAGCGUUGCUCGGAAUUACUGGGCGUAAAGGGCGCGUAGGCUGACAGUUUAGUCAGAGGUGAAAGCACAGGGAUCAACCUUGGAAUUUCCUUUGAUGCUGGCUGUCUUGAGUACGGGAGAGGUGAGUGGAACUCCGAGUGUAGAGGUGAAAUUCAUAGAUAUUCGGAAGAACACCAGUGGCGAAGGCGACUCACUGGCCCGUUACUGACGCUGAGGCGCGAAAGCGUGGGGAGCAAACAGGAUUAGAAACCCGAGUAGUCC
rnacentral:rRNA from 1 species